rnacentral:rRNA from 1 species
UGCCUAACACAUGCAAGUCGAACGAGAAAGUGGAGCAAUCCAUGAGUAAAGUGGCGACCGGGUGAGUAACACGUGACUAACCUACCCUGGAGUGGGGAAUAACCUUCCGAAAGGAGGGCUAAUACCGCAUAACGUCCUGAGGCUGAGAUGCCAUAGGACCAAAGGAGCAAUUCGCUUUGGGAGGGGGUCGCGGCAGAUUAGCUAGUUGGUGAGGUAACGGCUCACCAAGGCAUUGAUCUGUAGCCGGCCUGAGAGGGCGCACGGCCACACUGGAACUGAAACACGGUCCAGACUCCUACGGGAGGCAGCAGUGGGGAAUUUUGCCCAAUGGGGGAAACCCUGACGCAGCAACGCCGCGUGGAGGUAAGGUCUUUGGAUUGUAAACUCC